GGUUAAGCGACUAAGCGUACACGGUGGAUGCCCUGGCAGUCAGAGGCGAUGAAGGACGUGCUAAUCUGCGAUAAGCGUCGGUAAGGUGAUAUGAACCGUUAUAACCGGCGAUUUCCGAAUGGGGAAACCCAGUGUGAUUCGUCACACUAUCAUUAACUGAAUCCAUAGGUUAAUGAGGCGAACCGGGGGAACUGAAACAUCUAAGUACCCCGAGGAAAAGAAAUCAACCGAGAUUCCCCCAGUAGCGGCGAGCGAACGGGGAGCAGCCCAGAGCCUGAAUCAGUGUGUGUGUUAGUGGAAGCGUCUGGAAAGGCGCGCGAUACAGGGUGACAGCCCCGUACACAAAAAUGCACAUGCUGUGAGCUCGAUGAGUAGGGCGGGACACGUGGUAUCCUGUCUGAAUAUGGGGGGACCAUCCUCCAAGGCUAAAUACUCCUGACUGACCGAUAGUGAACCAGUACCGUGAGGGAAAGGCGAAAAGAACCCCGGCGAGGGGAGUGAAAAAGAACCUGAAACCGUGUACGUACAAGCAGUGGGAGCACGCUUAGGCGUGUGACUGCGUACCUUUUGUAUAAUGGGUCAGCGACUUAUAUUCUGUAGCAAGGUUAACCGAAUAGGGGAGCCGAAGGGAAACCGAGUCUUAACUGGGCGUUAAGUUGCAGGGUAUAGACCCGAAACCCGGUGAUCUAGCCAUGGGCAGGUUGAAGGUUGGGUAACACUAACUGGAGGACCGAACCGACUAAUGUUGAAAAAUUAGCGGAUGACUUGUGGCUGGGGGUGAAAGGCCAAUCAAACCGGGAGAUAGCUGGUUCUCCCCGAAAGCUAUUUAGGUAGCGCCUCGUGAAUUCAUCUCCGGGGGUAGAGCACUGUUUCGGCAAGGGGGUCAUCCCGACUUACCAACCCGAUGCAAACUGCGAAUACCGGAGAAUGUUAUCACGGGAGACACACGGCGGGUGCUAACGUCCGUCGUGAAGAGGGAAACAACCCAGACCGCCAGCUAAGGUCCCAAAGUCAUGGUUAAGUGGGAAACGAUGUGGGAAGGCCCAGACAGCCAGGAUGUUGGCUUAGAAGCAGCCAUCAUUUAAAGAAAGCGUAAUAGCUCACUGGUCGAGUCGGCCUGCGCGGAAGAUGUAACGGGGCUAAACCAUGCACCGAAGCUGCGGCAGCGACGCUGAUGCGUUGUUGGGUAGGGGAGCGUUCUGUAAGCCUGUGAAGGUGUGCUGUGAGGCAUGCUGGAGGUAUCAGAAGUGCGAAUGCUGACAUAAGUAACGAUAAAAAGGGUGUGAAAAGCCCGCCGCUCGCCGGAAGACCAAGGGUUCCUGUCCAACGUUAAUCGGGGCAGGGUGAGUCGACCCCUAAGGCGAGGCCGAAAGGCGUAGUCGAUGGGAAACAGGUUAAUAUUCCUGUACUUGGUGUUACUGCGAAGGGGGGACGGAGAAGGCUAUGUUGGCCGGGCGACGGUUGUCCCGGUUUAAGCGUGUAGGCUGGUUUUCCAGGCAAAUCCGGAAAAUCAAGGCUGAGGCGUGAUGACGAGGCACUACGGUGCUGAAGCAACAAAUGCCCUGCUUCCAGGAAAAGCCUCUAAGCAUCAGGUAACAUCAAAUCGUACCCCAAACCGACACAGGUGGUCAGGUAGAGAAUACCAAGGCGCUUGAGAGAACUCGGGUGAAGGAACUAGGCAAAAUGGUGCCGUAACUUCGGGAGAAGGCACGCUGAUAUGUAGGUGAAGCGACUUGCUCGUGGAGCUGAAAUCAGUCGAAGAUACCAGCUGGCUGCAACUGUUUAUUAAAAACACAGCACUGUGCAAACACGAAAGUGGACGUAUACGGUGUGACGCCUGCCCGGUGCCGGAAGGUUAAUUGAUGGGGUUAGCGCAAGCGAAGCUCUUGAUCGAAGCCCCGGUAAACGGCGGCCGUAACUAUAACGGUCCUAAGGUAGCGAAAUUCCUUGUCGGGUAAGUUCCGACCUGCACGAAUGGCGUAAUGAUGGCCAGGCUGUCUCCACCCGAGACUCAGUGAAAUUGAACUCGCUGUGAAGAUGCAGUGUACCCGCGGCAAGACGGAAAGACCCCGUGAACCUUUACUAUAGCUUGACACUGAACAUUGAGCCUUGAUGUGUAGGAUAGGUGGGAGGCUUUGAAGUGUGGACGCCAGUCUGCAUGGAGCCGACCUUGAAAUACCACCCUUUAAUGUUUGAUGUUCUAACGUUGACCCGUAAUCCGGGUUGCGGACAGUGUCUGGUGGGUAGUUUGACUGGGGCGGUCUCCUCCUAAAGAGUAACGGAGGAGCACGAAGGUUGGCUAAUCCUGGUCGGACAUCAGGAGGUUAGUGCAAUGGCAUAAGCCAGCUUGACUGCGAGCGUGACGGCGCGAGCAGGUGCGAAAGCAGGUCAUAGUGAUCCGGUGGUUCUGAAUGGAAGGGCCAUCGCUCAACGGAUAAAAGGUACUCCGGGGAUAACAGGCUGAUACCGCCCAAGAGUUCAUAUCGACGGCGGUGUUUGGCACCUCGAUGUCGGCUCAUCACAUCCUGGGGCUGAAGUAGGUCCCAAGGGUAUGGCUGUUCGCCAUUUAAAGUGGUACGCGAGCUGGGUUUAGAACGUCGUGAGACAGUUCGGUCCCUAUCUGCCGUGGGCGCUGGAGAAUUGAGGGGGGCUGCUCCUAGUACGAGAGGACCGGAGUGGACGCAUCACUGGUGUUCGGGUUGUCAUGCCAAUGGCACUGCCCGGUAGCUAAAUGCGGAAGAGAUAAGUGCUGAAAGCAUCUAAGCACGAAACUUGCCCCGAGAUGAGUUCUCCCUGACUCCUUGAGAGUCCUGAAGGAACGUUGAAGACGACGACGUUGAUAGGCCGGGUGUGUAAGCGCAGCGAUGCGUUGAGCUAACCGGUACUAAUGAACCGUGAGGCUUAACCUU
rnacentral:rRNA from 1 species